AUGAUAAUUAGUUUAAGCCAAAAACAAAUGAUUUCGACUCAUUAGA
rnacentral:tRNA from 1 species